rnacentral:lncRNA from 1 species
AGGUAAACAAAGAUUUUAUUUAUUUAUUUAUUUUAGGAAAAUAAUAUAUAUGUCAAUAUAUAAAUAUUUAAUAAAGGUAGAUUGCUAGGGGUGAGCAUUCGGUUAAUAACCGAACCGAAUCAGAAUUUCGGUUAUAUCCGAAAUCCGAAAAUGCACUAUUUCAUGUAUCCGAAUAAAUAACCGAAUUUUGUAUUAACCGAAAAACCGAAAACCCGAAAAAUCGAAUAAGUAAUUCGGUUAAUAACCGAAUUAAAAAGAAUUAGCAGCAAGCCAGCAACACAGUUCAAUUCUUACAAUUCCUACAACACAGACACAGUUCCUACAACAAAACCCAUAAACAACAACAAACAAUGGACGCCUCUUAUCUGCAACAAAUCAAUUACAUCUCAUCUCCAAUUCGUUCCUCCACCAACCGUCUCUUCACAACUUCGGUAUUUCUCACCAAAAAACCUAGAAAUGACAAUCCAUUUAUGCAGACUUGCAGAGACACAUUUGCAGAUUUGCUUCGUGGGGUUGUGAGCAAUAAAAAAGAUGAAAUUGAACGGGUCUGUGACGAUGUUCAGAUUUCGAGCUGAGAAGCCUCGUGAGUCGUGAGCUUGGUUUCGAGCUCCAAUACACAUCUGCUUGGUUUCGGUCCUUUCGAAUCUUCAGGUUUGUUCGGCGAUGGCCGAAGGCGAAGGCGAUGGAGAUCUGAGAGUUGAGGCUUGACUCUUGAGAGAUCUCAGAUCUGAGAGUGACUGAGACUAGACGAGAAGAUGAGAGAGAUCAGAGAUCUAAUGAAUAAUGAGAGAGAUCUGUCGAUCUGAUAUGAGACUGAGCCGACCAAGAGGUCUGAGACUGAGAGAGAUUGGAGUCUUAACAGUCGAGUGGAGUAUUGCCACUCUUAGUCUCUCUCUUCUCUUAGUCUCUUUUACUUGUGACCGACUGUAGAGUAGCUUGAGUUGCUUGACUAGUUGUCAGUUAACUGCGAAUUUUUAAUUUAGUAAUGUGUUGUUCGGUUAUUCGGUUUAACCGAAUAACCUAAAAAUGAUACCCGUACAACUUAACCG